rnacentral:rRNA from 1 species
UACGAAGGGGGCUAGCGUUGUUCGGAAUCACUGGGCGUAAAGCGCACGCAGGCGGAUCGGUAAGUCGGGGGUGAAAGCCCGGGGCUUAACCUCGGAAUUGCCUUCGAUACUGCCGUUCUCGAGUCCGGGAGAGGUGAGUGGAAUUCCUAGUGUAGAGGUGAAAUACGUAGAUAUUAGGUAGAACACCAGUGGCGAAGGCGGCUCACUGGCCCGGUACUGACGCUCAGGUGCGAAAGCGUGGGGAGCAACCAGG